UCCGCCAGUGAAUCUAACUAGAUAUAGAAGACAAUCUAGUUGUGCUUUUAUUACUUUGUCUUUGUAAAGUUUCCCUUUCAGACCGUGUGGUCUAUAUGGGCAGAUGAUGUAAAGGUCCUCUGUUUCUGUGACCUAUAAGCUAGACUAGAGUCAAGAUAUCUACAAAUUAUUUAGUAGUGGCUAUUGCUCUGGAUCUACUGUUCAAAAACAAUAACCAUAGUUUCAUGGCUGCAUCUACUGUAGAAGGCGAGGGUAGUUUUGAUGGCAUUGUUACUUACCAUCUGCGUGACAUCAAUGCUGAGUUGGUUGAGGAAUGGCAACAUGCUUUUAGUGAAUACAGCGAUUCAGUCAAGAUAUCUCAAGGAGAUAUUUUUAAUGAUGCACCAGCAGCUGAUGCCAUUGUUUCUCCUGCCAAUAGUUUUGGUUUCAUGGAUGGAGGAAUAGAUUGGAUUUAUUCCAAAUAUUUUGGCUGGCAAAUGCAAAAUCGGUUGCAAAAUGUCAUAAGGGAAGAAUAUCAUGGAGAGUUGCCAGUGGGUCAAGCUAUAAUUAUACCUGCCUAUGACCCUAGUAUACAAACACCAGACAUUGAACCGGACUAUAAUGAAGGAGUAGCUAUAAAAUAUCUGAUCAGUGCUCCCACUAUGAGAGUUCCUGCUAUUGUAUCGGAUACUGUGAAUGCUUAUCUGGCCUUCAGGGCAGUCAUUCUUGCAGUCAAAAAACACAACAGCAGUAAGACUCUGUCGUACAUAAGAAGUGUUCUUGUGCCUGGAUUAGGAACAGCUGUUGGGAAGAUGCCAAAAAAGAGAUGUGCCUUUCAGGUACAAAUAAAAUCAAGACUAGCAGGAAAUUCUGUGGCAUUUUACAUCUCGAGAGACGAUCUUUUCCCUUUGCAACUUCAUGUGUGACUAAAGAGGCCAAUCCUUGAUACACAGCUGCGAUCGCAGAUGCUUCAAGCCUAUGAAACAUUUGAAAAGUCCAAACAUAAAUUCAGAAUUCAUCCUGACUCUCUUUGUGUUGUAGACGAUGAUGAUUAUAAAAUGUCUUCUUAUAACUAAAAGGCUGGAACAUUCCUUCAUUUUUGAUCAAGUGAAAUUUUAAUGAAACUACACAUUUUGUGUCACACAACCGAACAUUGUUGUUUCUUGCUUGACUUUCGGCUGCUGGAUCACUAAAAAAAAGAACGUCUUCUUGACUUUUGGAUCUCUACUAAAAUGUAAACAAGUUUUACUCAUAACGAUUAGCAAUUAUUUGAUGAAUUAAGAAAUAUUUUUUUUUUAUACUUUUUGUGUGACAUUGUCACCUUUUUUUUCUUUCUUUGUUAGCUGUUGAAAAUUUUUUUUGGAUCCAAACUUUUGUUUAGAAAUUAAUACAUGAAGAUCUACACAUAGAUAUAAAUGUGUGAAUGAUUUAAACAGAAAUUACAAUAAUUAGCCAAAGCAUAUACUUGAGGAGUUGUUACUGUUUGGAGGUACCCAAUUUAUCUAUGAAAAUAAUGGCCAUGUUGUAAGCCACAAGAAUGAAAGGUAUUACAGUGGAGGUGCUAAUUGUUAUGUUGGGUUACUAUAGGAUUGCGUCGACAGUACAAUUUUUUCUUAUAAAGUUCUUCCAAUGACACAAACACUAAUGUAUGCCAAAAGUUUAAUGAAUGACUAGAACAUUUUACUGUUUAUACUUUUCAUUCAUGUCUUCCAGAAUCCCCUUUCUGUCAUUUACUAGCAUUGACGUCAGCUACUUUUAACUGCACUUCAAUAUCUGAUUGGUCCAUUAUUUAUGAACAGGUGAAUAAGGCCCUGAAUUUUCAUUGACCUUAAACUUCUGGAAUAAAGUCACAGCUAACUGUUGUAUCGAUUAAUGACACUAAUAAGUUCAGAAGUGAAAACCUAGAAUAGACCUAGACUCAAUAUGUUCAUCUUGCUGGAUGUAAGCAAAGCAUUCAUGUCUGCUUGAUGCUACCAUACAAAACCAUUCUACACUGUUCUUUUCAGAAACCGAAUGACCAUAAGCUAUGCAAUCUGGCUUCUAUGUGUCACACUCUUUAGCUUACAUACAUCUUAUUUAAGAUCAAACUGACAAUUGUAUGGGCAAAGCUUUCCUUAUUAAUUAUUUGAUACUUUAUGCCUGAGAGUUAAAUUUUGUUAAAAAUCUCACAGAUAGCUAUAAUUUUAUUGUUGAAUGAAAUAAGUUGAAAUAGUUUCCAAAGAUAAAAGUUAUUAUUAUAUAUUCCAUGAAAUACUUUGUAUGCCAUAUUGUGCUAGGCCUUUUUUCUUUUGACAUACAUGUCCAUUAGAAAAAAACAUUUUUUCUUAAGUUUUUAAGGUACUAAGUUAAGUUGUUCAGUAUAAUAACUCCGUCCUCAUAACCUGGUCUUAUUUGAACUGCUACUAAAGAGUUUUACAUGUAUUUAUUUAUCUUACCAAACAGAAUAAGAAAAAACAUUUUUAGCAUUGCUUGAAUGCAUAUCUUAUCAAAUCAUGUUGCAAGCUUUGAUUCAUAAUUUCAUUAUUUGUGAUUCUAUGAGAAUUUUUAAUUUAUCACAACACUUGAGCAUUUCGUCAAAGUCAUAGCUUUAUCAUGAAUAAAAUAUGAUGUGAUUAUUUAUUCUCAUUUGUUUAUUACAUUGUGCUUUCACUUUAAUUUCAAUGUUUUAAAUGUUUUUUAAAAUAAAAUAAAACCAUA